UCUGUAUUUCCUCGAGAGGCAUUCUGGUUUUCUUCGCCGUCGGACUCGGAGAAGAUAAAACAGAGGGCAGAAUCCAGAGCAAAGAAGAAAUGCAUCCUCCCAUUUUUGGGCACUCUUUCGCCGUGCUCGCGGCAUUGAUCCUCCUUUCCGGGCUCGCUUUCAGUUUUCUCAACAGGAAAAGAGCCAGCGCACGAAGAAAUGCAGAAGAUGAUUGAUACCCUUUACGUUUGGACUCUCUUUGUGUGUGUUCUGAGAAGUUGGGCUGCUCCCCUUGGGAUGUUCACUUUGCUCGCGGAGACUUCAAAACCAAAUGUGGAUCUAAGCUGUUUCUUCCAACACGGUAAGAUGAUUUUUAUGGAUUGAUUGAUUGAUGGAUAUUGAUGUCCCGAAACUUUCCUUAUUCAACAACAAUAACGUGGGUCUGUCGCUAAAUGUGAUGUGAGCGACUGCACCAGGUGUAUUUUGUCUCACUCGUUAGUUUUAUACAUCCAUCUCAA